rnacentral:rRNA from 1 species
CCUACGGGAUGCAGCAGUGGGGGAUAUUGCACAAUGGGGGAAACCCUGAUGCCGCGACGCCGCGUGUGGGAAGACGGUCCUCUUGAUUGUAAACCACUCUCCACAGGGACGAAGAUGACUGUACCUGGGGAGGAAGCUCCGGCUAACUACGUUCCAGCAGCCGCGGUCAUACGUAGGGAGCGAGCUUUGGCCGGAAGUACUGGGUGUAAAGGGAGCGUAGGCGGGGAUGAAAGUUGGGUGUCAAAACUACCGGCGAAACUGGUAGUCGCACUCAAAACUGCAGCUCUUGAGUUAAGUAGAGGCAGGCGGAAUUCCUAGUGUAGCGGUGAAAUGCGUAGAUAUUAGGAGGAACACCAGUGGCGAAGGCGGCCUGCUGGGCUUUUACGGACGCUGAGGCUCGAAAGUGUGGGGAGCAAACAGGAUUAGAUACCCUGGUAGUC